rnacentral:tRNA from 1 species
AGGGGUAUAGCUCAGUUGUAGAGCAUAGGCCUAGUAUGUGUGAGGCCUGGGUUUAUUUCCCAGUACUGCAA